rnacentral:rRNA from 1 species
AAGAGGGGCCAUAUCACUCUGCAACUCACAACUGGCACCCCCACUGAAGCUAAGCAGGUGUGAGCCUGGUCAGUACCUGGAUGGGAGACCUCCUGGGAAAAACUAAGGUUGCUGCUGGAA